ACUUGAUUUAUUUCUUCUCCUUCCUCCUCCUCUUCCUCCCCUCUUCCUCUUCCUCUUCUUCCUCUACUUCUUCCCCUCCUCUUCUUCCUCCUCCUCCUCCCCCUCUUCCUCUUCCUCUCCCUCUUCCUCCUUCUCCUCCCAUUCUUUUCUUCUUUCUUCCUACUGGCUUUUAAGCAGAUUUCAUCUAUUUCUCUGGUUGAAAUCGCAUCUGGAUGCUGUUGAUUCUCAGUUGGAGCCCGGCCAUGGUCUUUCUGAACUUGACAUUCCUGUUUCCACCAGGUUGUUAGAUAGGAGUUCGAGGCUAGCCUGGUCUACAAAGUGAGUUCCAGGGCAGCCAGGGCUACAGAGAAACCCUGUCUCGAAAAAAAACCAAAAAAAAAAAAAAAAAAAAUUCAUCAUAAAUAGUUUACUUUAUGACAGGUGUAUAGAUCUGGGUGGAAUUACAGUGCUAUGCUUACCCACUUAUUAUGAUCCAUUUCUUCAAAAAGCUUUGUUUUUAGUUUUUAUAGACAAAUAAAAUAUUUUUGAGACUUGGUUUAGAAGACAUUAUUUUAUUAUAUAUUGUUUUGAGAUAGGGUCUUACUAGUAGCCAUGACUGGUCUAGAACCUCAGUAUGUAGACCAGGCUGCCUUCUAACUUAAAGAGAUCCUACUGCCUCUGCCUCCUAAAUUCUAGGAUUUAAGUUAGAGAAUUGUGUUCCUGGUUCUACCUUAGAAAACCAGCAGGCUGGCAAACCAUCAUGUCACAUUGGUAACGUGUCUAAAAGGUUAAUUUUUUACUCGUGUGUGUGCGUGUGUGUGUGUAUGUGUGUUGCUUGCUUAUUGGUUUUUAGAAAUAUCUUCUCACAUGGUCUUAGUAUGUAGCCUAGGCUGUCCCUGAGCUUGGGGCAGUCCUCCUGCCUCAGCUUCCCGAGCCACCAUGCCGCUCUUUUUACUCUUCUUUUCAAAUAUCCUUAGAAAGGAUUGGGAAAGAGCAAAGGGGACAAGAGAGAGUGCUAGGGGAGUGCUGUGACCACACGAGGUCACAUCCCUGUCAUUGCUCGCCCUUGUGUGUUCUGGCUUCUGCUGUAAGGUGCGUGAGCUCUCAGUCUCCCGCAGGACUUCUACACUCCUGGGCCCAGUGUCUCUGCUGUCUCCUCACUUGGAGUGUUUCACUUCAGAAAGCAAAGUUGAUUUUUCUGUUAAACCUUUAAAAAGACCAAUAUCUUACUUAAUUUUAGUUAAAUGAAAAAUGGGGAAUGGAGAGAAUUAAAUAGGAUUUUAAAAUAAUUAUUAUUUAAGGUUCUUUAAUUCUUAAUAAAAUUGUUUUUCAGGUUCAGUUCCAGAAGGUGUGCUAGAAGAUAUUAAAGGUAAGAGGGUUUUCUCUGUCAGCGUGAGGGUCUUUGGGAUCAGUCAGGUGCUCAGGAUUGACAGCAAUGCCCUAACACCACCCACAUCUGGCCCUCGGUUUUGUCCCUUACAUUCUUUAGUGCUAGUUUGAAGGGCACAUGUGUCUAAAAGUACAGAUAGAAAAUAUAUGUGGUGGCAUGUCCUGUAAUCUCAGCACGUGGUGCAGAUACACACAUGCAGCAAGUUUCAGAGCAGCCGGAGCUAACCAGAAGACCCUUUUUUCUUUUUUCAGUUUAGUUUAUAUAAUAAGUAUUAUACCUUAAUGUAUGCAUGUGCACCACAUGUGUGCUUGGUUCCUGUGGUGGUCAGAGUUAAGAUGCUUGUGAGCCACCAGGUAAGUGCUGGGAACGGACCCAGGUCCUCUAGAAGCACAGUGUUGUAAACCAUUGAGACAUCUCUCCAGCUCCUAGCAGAGUUUAUCAUUUGUGUGUGUGUGUGUUUGAGACAGGGUUUCUGUAUGUAAUCCUCCCUGUCCUGGAACUCACUCUUUAGACCAGGCUGACCAUAAACUCAGAGGCCUGCCUGCCUCUGCCUCUCCCGUGCUAGGGGAUGCUAGUCUGUGCCACCACUGUCCAGCUUAGAAUUUAUCUUAAAAUGAAAGUAAACACAAACAUGGUUCUAAGUGUGUAAGUAAUGUUUUAAAAGUAAUUUGGCUGAAGUUAUUGGAUAUCUUGAAUUCAGCCCCAGCUUUUUCAGAUUUAAAAUUUUUACUUACUCCUCUGUCUAAAGGCCUUGGUAAGGGUAUUUGC
rnacentral:lncRNA from 1 species